rnacentral:tRNA from 1 species
GGCCCAUUAGCUCAGUUGGCUAGAGCGUCGUGCUAAUAACGCGAAGGUCGCGGGUUCGAUCCCCUCAUGAGCCA